rnacentral:ncRNA from 1 species
GCGUGGGUCGGCCCACUGCGUACUGGAACCAGUGGGCUGGGGGACACCGCCGCCUCAUUUCCCCGCGGGUGGCGGAUCGGUCCGGGAGGCGAAGGCGCCUCCCGGACUGUA